rnacentral:lncRNA from 1 species
UCCAUAUUAAUGCACAGUUUAUUGGUACACAACUACAAGAAAGAAAGUGCGAUUUUACAUGGGUUCAAGCAUUGUCAGACAUGUUUGACAUCCAUACAUUAAUUGUACGACCGAAGGAAGUGUCAUAAUGGGAUGAAAAUGUUGAUGCUCUUACUGUACAGUCACAGUGGAACAGUGAGUGAGACAGUUGAUGUCCCGGUUGAGGAAGAUGCAGAAUUGAGUGUUAACGCUACCGAGAGAUCAGUGUUGGUCAAAAGGAUUGAUGAUCUUUAUAGCAUAAGGUUCACAGUUUCUGCAAUUGGAUGUAAAGGUAGUCCCCAUUACAGAGAAAGAAAACAAAUAUUCACAUCUAUCAGUUACCAAGAGAUGUUUUUGCUCAUUUGGAGACAUAGUUGAAGUUUUUCAAUAUAUAUAAAGAUGAUGUCGAAGGAAUUCUUGGCAAGACUUACCAGUUGGGCUAUGUUAGUCCAGUCAAGAGAGGAGUGGUGAUGCCAAUCAUGGACGGGAAAGACAAAUAUCAGACACCAUCACUCCAUUCAUCUCUCCACAAAAUGAACGUUUCAAAGACCCUCAAGUGUUGCUUCAUCUUGAUGAGACGAAGAUAUUAACCAAAUUAUGCUAAUUCCAUCCAAUUGAACAAAGAUACUCCACAAUUAUACACCUCCUCCACAAGCCAUAUUUUCAGUGGAAUCCCACAAAAUAUGGUCUGUGGAGGAGGUGUAUGCAGACUUAACCUUAAAGAUAGAGUAGUUGUUUUCGAUAGACCCUCUACUUCAAGUUAAAAAAAUGAGAUGUGUACAGUUACAAUCGAUCUCCCUUCAUCAAGGCAGCAACUCUAGCCCUUUGCCACUAGCACUAACCUUAUACCGAUUCAAGAAAAAUAGACUAUUAUUUCGUAAUGUAGCAUGACUAUCUAAA